AUUGAACGCUGGCGGCAGGCUUAACACAUGCAAGUCGAGCGGGGUGAUGGUGCUUGCACUAUCACUUAGCGGCGGACGGGUGAGUAAUGCUUAGGAAUCUGCCUAUUAGUGGGGGACAACAUCUCGAAAGGGAUGCUAAUACCGCGUACGUCCUACGGGAGAAAGCAGGGGAUCACUUGUGACCUUGCGCUAAUAGAUGAGCCUAAGUCGGACUAGCUAGUUGGUGGGGUAAAGGCCUACCAAGGAGACGAUCUGUAGCGGGUCUGAGAGGAUGACCCGACACACUGGGACUGGGACACGGCCCAGACUCCUACGGGAGGCAGCAGUGGGGAAUAUUGGACAAUGGGGGGAACCCUGAUCCAGCCAUGCCGCGUGUGUGAAGAAGGCCUUAUGGUUGUAAAGCACUUUAAGCGAGGAGGAGGCUCUUUUGGUUAAUACCCAAGAUGAGUGGACGUUACUCGCAGAAUAAGCACCGGCUAACUCUGGGCCAGCCGCCGCCGUAA
rnacentral:rRNA from 1 species